rnacentral:ribozyme from 1 species
CAUGAAGGAAUGCGCCAAAGAACUGGGCUGGGACGCCUCGGCGCCGCUCC